rnacentral:rRNA from 1 species
UACGUAGGGGGCAAGCGUUGUCCGGAUUUAUUGGGCGUAAAGAGCGUGUAGGCGGCUAGAUAGGUCCGUUGUGAAAACUCGAGGCUCAACCUCGAGACGUCGAUGGAAACCAUCUGGCUAGAGUCCGGAAGAGGAGAGUGGAAUUCCUGGUGUAGCGGUGAAAUGCGCAGAUAUCAGGAAGAACACCCGUGGCUAAGGCGGUUCUCUAGUACGGUACUGACGCUGAGACGCGAAAGCGUGGGGAGCGAACAGG